rnacentral:rRNA from 1 species
GACGAACGCUGGCGGCGUGCCUAAUACAUGCAAGUUGAGCGCUGAAGGUUGGUACUUGUACCAACUGGAUGAGCAGCGAACGGGUGAGUAACGCGUGGGGAAUCUGCCUUUGAGCGGGGGACAACAUUUGGAAACGAAUGCUAAUACCGCAUAAAAACUUUAAACACAAGUUUUAAGUUUGAAAGAUGCAAUUGCAUCACUCAAAGAUGAUCCCGCGUUGUAUUAGCUAGUUGGUGAGGUAAAGGCUCACCAAGGCGAUGAUACAUAGCCGACCUGAGAGGGUGAUCGGCCACAUUGGGACUGAGACACGGCCCAAACUCCUACGGGAGGCAGCAGUAGGGAAUCUUCGGCAAUGGACGAAAGUCUGACCGAGCAACGCCGCGUGAGUGAAGAAGGGUUUCGGAUCGUAAAACUCUGUUGGUAGAGAAGAACGUUGGUGAGAGUGGAAAGCUCAUCAAGUGACGGUAACUACCCAGAAGGGGACGGCUAACUACGUG